GUUUGAUUGUUCCAGAGUAAUUUGUAAGGUUAGAUUCUGACAUUUUAUUCAUGGUGAUUAUUGUCCUGCUCCUCAGAUUAUCCAGCUGAAGGUCAGUUUGCAGAAUCUACAGAACAUCAGAAUCUCAGGAGUUUCAGGAAAUCAGGAACAUGCUCAGGAGCAGGGAGAGUGACUGCACCAAAGUUGUCUUCCUAAGGCCUGAACUGCUGCUGAGUUGGAGCUUUGCACUGCCUCAUCCCAGUGACUCUGCCUUUUAGUGUGACCUGAAACCAGGUCCCUCAGUGUCCUUAGAUGUGAAAUGUGCUGAUGACACCAUGGUUUGGGUAUGGAUGCAGAGAGGAAAAAGCUGCACACACAUUCUGCUAUUCUUUACAUUGGUCAGACUGGGUGAGUGUCUGUCUCAUUUAAUGUGUGUCUCUG
rnacentral:lncRNA from 12 species